UAAAUUUAAAAAUUUGAAAUUUACUUUUUUUUUAUAUAUAUAUAAGUGAAGGUGUGCAUGCAAUAAAUGCAUUUAAUAAUUCGUUUCUUUUUUAAUUUUGCUAAAAUGAAAUUUAAUAUUCUUCAUCUCAAAUGCAUUAAGUUGAUGUGUAUUUAAAAUUACUUAAAAAAAAAAAUUCAAUAUGAGAUAAUUAAAUAAUUUAAAAAUACCCUUUUAUCAUAAAUAUUUAAAAAAUGGAGCUUAUACUUUCCUCCAAAAAGAAAUUUAAGUUGUUUUCAUGCAAUUAAUAAAUAGGAAAAUAACAAAACGCAAAGUAGAAAAAGAAUGGAUUCUCUCGACUUUGAGAGAGAACGGAGGCCCUUGGAGGAGGAAAAGGAUCGGGCUAUAAGAAAGUAAAGCAUAAGGUGGAGGAGGAUGCCGCUGGGGGUAUGCCUAUGUCCUUUAGGGAUAGGUUAGCGUUUGGGAAGAAUAGAGAGGAUGUGGUAAUGGAGGAUGAGGGGGAGGUUGAUGUGGAGGAGAGGGAUGUGUUGGUUGAGAAAUCAGGUAAAAUGCCUGUGGUGACAGUUUUUGAAGAUUUGCAAAGGAAACUGGUGAAGAAAUGACAAUUCUCAGUUGUGGUUAGGCUGUUUGGUCGAAAGAUUGGUUAUAAAGUUUUAUGCAAUAAGAUUCAAUUGCUCUGGAAUACUAAUAAUUUGAAGGUUCUGGAGUUAGGGAAUGAUUAUCUCUCAGUCAAAUUUUCUUGUGAGGAGGAUUUUGAGAGGGCUUUUCUUCUUGAGGGUCCAUGGACCAUUUUUGGGAGCUGUCUGGCGGUGAAACCAUGGUAUCCGGAGUUUGAUAUUUUCAAUGAUGAAAUUACAUCGAUAACUGUUUGGGUGAUAUUGCUAGGUCUACCUCUUCACUUCUAUAAUAAGAAAGUUCUUAGGGGAAUUGGUGAGGCUGUGGGGAAGGUGGUAAAGAUAGAUUAUAAUACUGGAGAUGCUCUGAGAGGUCGUUUCAUGAGAAUGGCUGUAGUUGUCAAUAUCAAGGAGCCUUUAGUCUCCAAGUUUUGCAUUAAUGGGAGGACUCAAUUGGCUGAAUAUGAAUUGUUGGUCACAAAGAUAUUUUUUGUCCGAUGAAGGAUUCAGAUUUUAAAGGUGCUGGAUUGGCACUAAAUGUUAAUGCGGGGAUGGUGAUCCGAAGGAUCAGUAUGGUCCGUGGAUGGCUGUUUAGCAGCGUGGGAGACGUAAUCAACAGGAUAAGAAGAUGCAAGUCGCUGUCAAAGUUCUAGGUUUAAUAUUCUUAUUGAAGAUGGUGGUGAGGAGUCCUUUUGGGAUUGGGAUGAGAGGUAUGUUAAGGAGUCCAGUGGGUCAAGUGGCAAGCGAUUAGGUGAUUCUUUAGAAGGAAGAAAAGUUGUUACUACGAACAGGUCAUCCAAUAGGAGGGGAAAAGUUAAAGGUUUUAAUGUUGAGCCGGUGAGUAAUGGGGAGGUGUUGAUAUCUAUUAGGCUGGAGGGUAAUAAAGAGAAUGAGGAUCCUUUUGCUCAGAGGCCUAGGAGAGGGGACUUGUUUUCUUAUGUUAUGAAUUCUUUGGCUAGUAAUUUACAAGAGGCUCCAACGACUCUGGCUUGUUGGUCCUUUUGGAAAAGAAGAAAUGGGCUUAUUUUCAAUGAGGAUAGUGUGUCUCAAGAUAGCAUUUUUAAUCUGAUUUUGCAGAGAGUGAAAGUUUAUUGUUCGGCCUAUUUAAAACUUUAAGCAGGCUAAGGUUAUGCCUAGGAGAAGAGUUGUUGAUUGGAUUCAUUGGUCUCCAGCAGCCCCAUCUUGGUUUGUUUUGAAUACUAAUAGAGCAAUGAUGGUGAAUUCUAAUUUGGCUACUAUGGGAGGUAUUAUUCGUAAUAAUUGUGGUGUUUGGGUAGCUGGGUUCUCUGCUAAUUUUGGUAGAACAUAUAUGGAGCAAGUUGAAUUAAAAGCUUUCUUGGGAGGGCUUAGUUUGGCCUGGUUCUUGGACAUUAAGAAGUUGAUUGUUCAAUGUGAUAAUACUCUGGUUGUGAGUGCUGUUUCUUCAGUUUCUGGAGAGUUACAGGCUGCGCAACCUUUGAUUCAAGUUGUUGGAAGUUAUUUAGGGAGAAAGGAAGUCAAGAUUGUUUCUAUUUUUAGGGAAGCUAACUUUGUUGCAGACUGUCUUGCUCACAUGGAUGGUUCUGCUCUUUUAGGCACUAACGGCUCUUUACUCCUCCUGCUAAGUUAGUUCCAUGGCUCAUUCAUGAUUUGAUUGGUGUUGCCUACCCUAGAAAUCAUGUAGUGUAGUGGGUUUUUCUUUCUAGCUUAUUUCAACCAAAAAAAAAAAUAUUAAAUAGGAAAAUAACAAAAAUAUGAAAUUAAGAAAUUCCCUUGUCCACAAGUGUAGUGCUGAGCAUUAAUUAAUUUGAACUGAAUAAACAGACCGAACUGAUAAAAUUUGGUAAUUUAAUUCAAUUUUUAUAGUAAAUCGUUUUGGUUCGGUUUCAAUUCUUAAAAUUUUCAAUUUAUUCAAUUCGAUUUUAAGAAUACAAAAUUUUAAAAGAUAAAACCAAACAACAGAACCAAAUAUUAAAAUACAUCGUUUUAAUAGGCAUUUAUAACCCCUCAUUCCUCAUUCCAUCCAGACCCAGACUACCCACCCUUGCCACAAGUCGUCACCCUCAAUCCCUCCCUCAUCGGCCUCUCUUCUUCUCACCUCUCUUAUUCUUCUUCUUCUUGUCGAUACUCUCUAGUUGUUACACUCUCCGACAGUUAAUAGACCCACCCAUGGCCACACGUCCAUGAUAGAGACAAAGACAGACUCAAUGCCAUGUAGUUUCAUCUCCUCCACUCCCUCACUCCCUCAAAGCCUCGAGGACCUCGAUUUUCCCAUCUCCCCCCUCCUCACAACUCAGUCAGUUCUCACUUUCCUCCACACCCUCACAACCAGAGAAACUCAUGGACUUCUCUCUCUUUGCAUGUCGCCUCGCGGUGCUUUUCAGCUUGCCUCACCUGUGUCUUGAUUGUUUUGUUCUCCUGAUGCUUCUCGAUUCUUAGCAUGUGUAUUUGUUGGCAUAUGGCUUGUUCAUAAAUGUUAUUCUAUGAUUUUGCUAUUCUAUGAAAAAUGAGGCUUUGAUAAUUGAUAAAAUUAAAUUAGUUGUGUGAUUGAUUCAUUGUAUUUAUUUGAUUUAAUUUUGUGUUUGAUUCAUUUAAUAGAGAAGGCAAAUUGAUUCGUUUGAUUCAUUGUGUUUUUCUGUUUGAUUCAUUUAAUUCACUGAAGUUAAUGUUUGAUUCAUUGUGUUUAUUUGAUUUGAAUCAGUUCUAUGUUUGAUUAAUUUGAUUUUGUUAUUAUUUCAGUGAAGAUUAGUAGAAGAAAAGGCUCUGAAGUCUCGGAUAAAUUCUAACAACUGUCCCUGAAUUUAUAUAGUUGUAACACUACAGUCUCUUAACUUUAAAAUAUAAUAUAAA
rnacentral:misc_RNA from 1 species